UGUGUGUGCCCAUCCCCGAGCAGGUGCUGUGUCCAUCCCCUGUGUGCCAGGAUUUGUCCUUCCCAAAGCUUGGGCAGAUGAAGGAGGCUGCGAGGAAGAGGAAGAUGCCUUGGGCCCCCCAGGCAGGCCCCGAGCUGAGGACGGAGAGCCCGGAGGACAAAUCCCCCCGGCAGACCCUGGUGGGAGAGGCCGUUUUGAAGGGCUCCCCGGCACAGGAAGGCAGCGGGGAGGAAAAGGGCCGGAGAUCCCCCCGCAGGAGGGGCUCCAAAGCCAGCCCAGGGUGCUCUGAGGAGGAAAGA